GAUCCUGGCUCAGAUUGAACGCUGGCGGCAGGCUUAACACAUGCAAGUCGAGCGGAGAUGAGGUGCUUGCACCUUAUCUUAGCGGCGGACGGGUGAGUAAUGCUUAGGAAUCUGCCUAUUAGUGGGGGACAACAUUCCGAAAGGAAUGCUAAUACCGCAUACGUCCUAAGGGAGAAAGCAGGGGAUCUUCGGACCUUGCGCUAAUAGAUGAGCCUAAGUCGGAUUAGCUAGUUGGUGGGG
rnacentral:rRNA from 1 species